rnacentral:rRNA from 1 species
CGAUCGCUGGCGGCGUGCUUAACACAUGCAAGUCGCACGGAAAGGCCCUGCUUUUGUGGGGUGCUCGAGUGGCGAACGGGUGAGUAACACGUGAGUAACCUGCCCUUGACUUUGGGAUAACUUCAGGAAACUGGGGCUAAUACCGGAUAGGAGCUCCUGCUGCAUGGUGGGGGUUGGAAAGGUUCGGCGGUUGGGGAUGGACUCGCGGCUUAUCAGCUUGUUGGUGGGGUAGUGGCUUACCAAGGCUUUGACGGGUAGCCGGCCUGAGAGGGUGACCGGCCACAUUGGGACUGAGAUACGGACCAGACUCCUACGGGAGGCAGCAGUGGGGAAUAUUGCACAAUGGGCGGAAGCCUGAUGCAGCAACGCCGCGUGCGGGAUGACGGCCUUCGGGUUGUAAACCGCUUUCGCCUGUGACGAAGCGUGAGUGACGGUAAUGGGUAAAGAAGCACCGGCUAACUACGUG